UGGGGAAUAUUGCACAAUGGGCGCAAGCCUGAUGCAGCCAUUCCGCGUGUGUGAAGAAGGCCUUCGGGUUGUAAAGCACUUUCAGCGGGGAGGAAGGCGAUAAGGUUAAUAACCUUGUCGAUUGACGUUACCCGCAGAAGAAGCACCGGCUAACUCCGUGCCCGCAGCCGCGGUAAUACGGAGGGUGCAAGCGUUAAUCGGAAUUACUGGGCGUAAAGCGCACGCAGGCGGUUGAUUGAGUCAGAUGUGAAAUCCCCGGGCUUAACCCGGGAAUUGCAUCUGAUACUGGUCAGCUAGAGUCUUGUAGAGGGGGGUAGAAUUCCAUGUGUAGCGGUGAAAUGCGUAGAGAUGUGGAGGAAUACCGGUGGCGAAGGCGGCCCCCUGGACAAAGACUGACGCUCAGGUGCGAAAGCGUGGGGAGCAAACAGG
rnacentral:rRNA from 1 species